rnacentral:rRNA from 1 species
CCUACGGGAGGCAGCAGUGGGGAAUAUUGGACAAUGGGGGCAACCCUGAUCCAGCAAUGCCGCGUGUGUGAUGAAGGCCUUAGGGUUGUAAAGCACUUUCACUGGUGAAGAUGAUGACGGUAACCAGAGAAGAAGCCCCGGCUAACUUCGUGCCAGCAGCCGCGGUAAUACGAAGGGGGCGAGCGUUGUUCGGAAUCACUGGGCGUAAAGGGAGCGCAGGCGGUUCAUUAAGUUAGGCGUGAAAGCCCCGGGCUCAACCUGGGAACUGCGCUUAAUACUGAUGAGCUAGAAAACAGGAGAGGGUAGUGGAAUUUCCAGUGUAGAGGUGAAAUUCGUAGAUAUUGGAAAGAACACCGGUGGCGAAAGCGGCUACCUGGCCUGAUUUUGACGCUGAGGCUCGAAAGCGUGGGGAGCAAACAGGAUUAGAUACCCUGGUAGUCCACGCCGUAAACGAUGACAGCUAGAUGUCGGGGGGUCGCCCCUCGGUGUCGCCGCUAACGCAUUAAGCUGUCCGCCUGGGAAGUACGGUCGCAAGAUUAAAACUCAAAUGAAUUGACGGA